rnacentral:snRNA from 1 species
GGGUAUGAGGGUAAUCUGUGACCCCAUUGAGAGCCACAGUUGAUUUGGCUGAUCUGGCUGGCUAGACAGAGAUUCCCUUCCUCCCUCAAUGCUCCAUGUGUGUCCCUCCUGAAUCUGCAUGUGUGGUCAAAGAGGACAAACAACUCUGAUAGAGGAAGACCAUUUCUCAGUCAAGCAUACACAGGUAGCUGUGCUCCCCUGCUAGAACCUCCAAACAAGCUCUCAAAAAAUAAGUUACGUUGUAUGGACAUGACUUUGUCAGAUGCUGAGUUUUUUGUGGAGAUCCAUUUCCU